rnacentral:tRNA from 1 species
UCCUCCUUAGCUCAGUUGGUUAGAGCACCUGACUGUUAAUCAGGGUGCCCUUGGUUCGAGUCCAAGAGGAGGAG